UACGUAGGUGGCAAGCGUUGUCCGGAUUUACUGGGCGUAAAGAGCGCGCAGGCGGUUGGAUAAGUCGAAUGUGAAAGCCCCCGGCUUAACUGGGGAGGGUCAUUCGAUACCGUUUGACUUGAAGGCAGGAGAGGGCAGCAGAAUUCCCGGUGUAGUGGUGAAAUGCGUAGAUAUCGGGAGGAAUACCAGUGGCGAAGGCGGCUGCCUGGCCUGUUCUUGAUGCUGAGGCGCGAAAGCUGGGGGAGCAAACGGG
rnacentral:rRNA from 1 species